GCAUCCAAUCGCAAAAGACCACGGAGCUUCAAGCAGCCAAUGAACAAAUGACAAAUCUGCCAGACCGGUCAGAAAAGCGAGCCGUGCUGGCAGUAGGGGGGAGGAGUUCCAGAAGCGGCACCAGUAGAAGGUCGGUCACCGGAUCGGGGGUUGAAGACGGCCGUCGGGUUCCGGACCCGAGCCACCAGGACUUCAACCGACCGGGGCCGCCUGCUAACCCAUUCCUGGGCGUCGCCACUCCAUCCGUUCGGGAAAUGCUGCCCGAGGCCGGUGAGCGUCUGCGCCCGUGGGCAGAACGUGAGCUGUCGGGCUACGAGCCCGAGUGCCACGACCAGCUGCCCGGCCAAAACGCCACCGCCGUCUGCCCGUGCUGCCGAGCCGCCUGUCUUCUCCCUCCGAGCCAGAGCUGCCACGCUCUGGCAGCCUGUACGACGGUCCGAUACAGCGACCUUUUGGUGAGACCAACACCGGCCGCUUCUCUCGUCGUCUCGUCUCCGCUGCUCCGCGUCGAUACUAUAGUACGCACACACGCCUGCUUCCUGCCGGAACUUGCUGCCCUAAAGUUUUGUGCCGUGAUAGUCGUUUUAAGUGUUUGUUUUUAUGGGUUAAUUUUCGUUUAAUUUUCAUUAAAAGUUUGUGUG